rnacentral:lncRNA from 1 species
UGCGACCCAAUCCUAUGCUAUGAAAACUAUGCCAGUGGCGUUGUAGUAUGCUAGUCGCAGAUGACAAUGUGCUCAUGCUCAGCUCAGCGAGGUUCUUAGUUUUAGCAGCCACAAGGAUGAUGGUUCUAUGCGCCAUGGGUUACUGGGCUAGUGCAGCAGGAGCUACCGCUAGGAAUACUAUUUCUUACCCUGCCCCAACUGCACUAUACAUCACUGGACCAUAUGUAGCCCACCUGUAGUUUUUACUUCUGUAGUUUAGAUGUUGUUUUUUCGUAAAAUAAGGAUGGAGCUUGGGGUCAAGUACAAGGUUCCCUGAUGGCUAAAUUCCUCUAGUUCCUUUGUUCAUCCAUGAACAUGUCUCAGCUCUGUCGCUGCUUGCCAUUCAGAUCCCCUGUUUCUCUCUCUGUUU